rnacentral:lncRNA from 1 species
CUCGUAACAAGCUAAAACUCUAGCCGCUAAACCAGACUACCGUUGUUUCCAUCGUCGUCUGACCCUAGAGAAAACCUCUCCUCUUCGAUUCUCCUUCCCUCUCUUCUUUAGUGUGGCCAACCCAAAUUUAUUUAGAACAAAUCUCCCAAGAUUGGCCGGUCACCAAGCAACCUAGAAACCGGUGGAAUCUCGCUGUGACCGUUGCUUGUGCGCCACCACCGCUUAUACCCAGAACUCGGUUG